rnacentral:rRNA from 1 species
CGUGCAGGCGGUUUCGUAAGUCGAGCGUGAAAGCUCCUGGCUUAACUGGGAGAGGCCGUUCGAUACUGCGGAACUUGAGGUCGGGAGAGGGACGUGGAAUUCCCGGUGUAGUGGUGGAAUGCGUAGAUAUCGGGAGGAACACCAGUGGCGAAGGCGACGUCCUGGCCCGUACCUGACGCUAAGACGCGGAAGCGUGGGUAGCGAACG